GAGGGUAUAGCUUACUGGUAGAGCAUGUGCUCCGCAUGCACAAGAUCCUGGUUCAAUCCCCAGUACCUCCA
rnacentral:tRNA from 1 species